rnacentral:rRNA from 1 species
AGGACGAACGCUGGCGGCGUGCUUAACACAUGCAAGUCGAACGGAAAGGCCCGCUUGCGGGUACUCGAGUGGCGAACGGGUGAGUAACACGUGGGCAACCUGCCCUCAGCUUCGGGAUAACACUUGGAAACAGGUGCUAAUACCGGAUAAUAACCUUUCAUCGCAUGGUGGUUGGUUCAAAGUUUUUCGGCUGAGGAUGGGCCCGCGGCCCAUCAGCUUGUUGGUGGGGUAAUGGCCUACCAAGGCGACGACGGGUA